UCCUAACAGGGAGACAAAACUGAUUAUGAUGUUGAAUUAUUUAGGGUCCAGCCAUAAUCCUGUCACCUUAGGUCGAUCGGUACCUCAAUUUGAUAUAUCAAAACUAUUAAAUUCAGUUCCUAAACUUUGUCUAGUCCACACCCCCCAAGGGUACUCCUGGGCCAUUAGCUCAGGUGGUUAGAGCGCACCCCUGAUAAGGGUGAGGUCCCUGGUUCGAGUCCAGGAUGGCCCAUUCGGUGUUGGGGGUAUAGCUCAGUUGGUAGAGCGCCUGCUUUGCAAGCAGGAUGUCAGCGGUUCGAGUCCGCUUACCUCCACUGAUCGACUUUCUGAAAUCGAAGCUUAUGGAGACCUUCCUUCGAUGUGAUCUAGAAUUUGUUCCUGAAUACUUUGAACCUAGCUUCUUAUCAUUCCAACCUAAAUCAUUAUUUUGGAUUGGCUGAUAUGACGCUGGGCUCUCCUGCAAGCUAACUUGUAGGAAGUUCAGUAGAACCUUGACAACUGCAUAGUGAGUCUGGAAAAAAAUAAAGCAUCUCAUGGAUGAAUUAUUUUCUUCAACAUAUCAAUAUAGAUGUUUUGAUUUAUUCUAAACAUCAUUGAUUUGUUUUAGAUUAUAAUUUUGAUUCUUGAGCAAGAGCCGAGACUUUAUAACGUUCUUUCUUUGGUUAUAUCAUCGAGAGUUUGAUCUUUAAUUUUAAAUUUAUAGGAUUCAAAUAUUAGUUUUUUUCUAAUAAUUGACUUCUAAUAAUCUAUAAAUUCAAGAAAUCUAUAACGUUAUGAAGGAUUAAUGGUCAAGCUACAA
rnacentral:tRNA from 1 species